CGUUCCUUGUAUAACUGGCUAUAAUCUGAUACAUUUUUUCAUAAAAUAAAAAACUUUUAAUUUUUCAUGAUAUUUUAGGCCAUUUCGUAUAGUAAAGCGUACCAAGCCCUUUCCAUAAUCUCAAUUGGAAGAGCACAGAUCUACGAAUCACGGGGGUUGUGAGUUUGAUCUCCACAUGAGGUACACAGCAUUUACUAGUAGCAACUGAGGAAUCAACAAAUAGCAACUGGCAAACAGCAAUAGCAUACAAGGAGCAAGUCUAACAAUUUGUUAGAACAUAGGAACACAGUUUAGCUGGAUGUCAGUUAGAUGUUCUGCAUUUAAACUGGCUAGGGUUAUUCGAACUUCCUGGUGCAAGGCAGACCGUACCGUCUGGGCAAUCCUGUCAAAAUACAACAUAUAUCCUUUAAACAGAAAACUGAAAACAAAGAAAUAUAAUAGAAAAAUUCUCGUGGAUUUGCAGGCCUGCACCUCAUGCAGUACAGGCAUUGCAUAGUCAACUCAAGCUGAAUACAACAUUACAGAUCAUAGUACUUUUAUGAUAACUGUAUUUAUUUAAUGUUCUUCAAUGGUUGAAUAAACUCGUCGAAUAAAAUAAUGAAAUGCGAGGCUCUGCCGAGCAUUUUAUCAAUUUUAUUCAACGAGUUUAAUAAAUUCAAUGUGGAAAGUCACAAAUGUAAUAUUCUUUUUAUCACAUGUUAGCCUUUCUUGUCGAAACAUCAAAAAAUUGACUUUCUUUUACCAUAUAAACAAGACAAUUUGACCGACGUCACCUAAACUAUAAAUGACGUCGACUUCAAAGCUUUAUUACACUAGUGUAUUAUCAUUUUUAUUUAAUGGCUUUAUUACACUCCCGCGACGUCAAAAAUGUCAUAACUGUAUUUAUUUAAUGCUCUUCAAUGAAGUACUGAAAUUUAACAGUGGUAUAAAAUUGACCUCAAUUUAUUUUUCACUGGUACAGAUUUAUGGAUCCAUGCUGGUCACCCUAUGUUGGUUUUCUCAUGGCAUGGCUCAUUUUAUUAAUCAGGUACUGUGAAACAAGUUCCUAAUCAAUCGAAACAGAAGCAAAGAUAUUUUUGUUUGUAAAAAUGUAUGUCAGCUUUAAUACUUACAUCAGGAAAAUUUUUCCUACAGUUUGGUGGAGCUGCUUUUACCACAACAACAACAACAACAACUAAAAGGAGAACCUGCAAGAACAGAACACUGUAGUAAGACUUACUAUAAAAAAAACUAAGACAUAU